GGGCAAGAUAGGUGAAGUUAGCUAACCAGUAAACUGUUUAUCUAACUUCACUUUGCCUUAUUCGCACCUUCGGCGCUCAACGGAAAAUCUUGACUCAACAAAGCU
rfam:Legionella nautarum strain ATCC 49506 Lnau_ctg021, whole genome shotgun sequence.